AUGGCGCCCGCUCCCGUGCUCCUCCCCACGCCAGAUCCGAGCGCUACGCCAGAUCCCGACGCAGCGCCCCAGGCCCCGGCGGCGGCCGCGGCGGUCCCGCUCACCCCCGAGCACUGCACCGCGCCCAGCCGGCUGGCCGCCAGGUCCGACGCCGAUGCCGGCGCGCCGACGAUCCCUCUCACACCCGAGCUCAUCGCCUUGCUGCGCGGCGAGCUCGAGCCCUCCCCCGAGGACCACUCCGACUUCGCCCUCCGCCUGAGAUUUACCCAGCAGCGCCUUGACGCCAUCUCCCCCAGCCUCCCCUCCGCCACGCCCCCGCCGGCGCCACCGCAACGCCCACAGUCUCCCCUUCCCCCGCCGACGUCUCACGUGCCACCGCCCCCUCCUCCGCCCCGCGCGCAUGCCGACCCAUUGCGGGCCUCGUCCUCGGCCGCCAGCCUCCCCUCCGCCAUGCCACCUCCGCUACGCCCACCGUCUCCCCCGCCGACACGCCCAAACUCUCCCCUGCCCCCGCCGCCGCCACGGGCGCCGUCUCCCCCUCCACCCAGCGCGCAUGCCAACCCGGCGAUGGAGAUGGUGCAACUGCGGGUUAUAUCCGCGCAGGAGGACACGCUCCACUAUCGACCGCUGGUGCGCCGCGCGCGACUCGCCUUCGAGGCGCUCUGGGGCCGCUACCACCGCAACGCCGAGAACAACCCUGUCCCCGGCAGCCGCAACCGGGCCGACUUGCGGGCCCUCGGCGCCAUGAUCAAAGGGAGGCUCUGCCUCAACCGCGAUAAGCGCAUCGUAGGGCCCGUGCCGGGCGUCUUCGUCGGCGACGCCUUCAACUACCGCGCUGAGCUCCUCGUCGUCGGCCUGCACAACCAAACGCAGGCCGACAUCGGCUACGUGCCCGCCAGCAAGCUCGACGGGGGCCACCCCGUCGCCACCAGCAUCGUAUCCUCGGGCAGGUACCUCGACGACCACGACAACGGGGGCGUCUUGAUCUACACGGGAAGCGGCGGCAGCCCGCCGAACGGCGGCAACCUCGCCCUCACAUAUAGCUGCAACUAUGGCAUCGAGGUGCGCGUCAUCCGCUGCCACGACUGCCACGCCAGCCCCAGCGGCAAGCUCUACGUCUACGACGGCCUCUACAAGGUCUUCUCCACAUCCGAGGUCUGCAAGUUCAAGCUCGUGCGUGUGCCCGGCCAGGAAGCGCUCGGCAGCAACACCUGGCGCUCCGCCAGAGACCUCAUCAACCAGCUCGACGCCAAGAUCCAGCCUCCCGACUACAUCACGCUGGACAUGUCCAAGGGCAAGGAAGCGGUUCCCGUCCCCGUCCGCAACUCGGUUGACCAUGACGUCUUUCCCCUCCAGUUCGAGUACCUCGCACGCCCCGAGUUCCCGGCGCCGCCGGCGAUGCCCGGCCACAAGUGCUGCACCUGCAUCAAUGCCAAGACUGCGUGCAGCGAGACGGCCGGCUGCGCCUGCGUGAAGAGGAGCGGCGGAGGCGGCCCAGCGUACAAUGCUGACGGCAUGCUCUUGAGGGGACGGCCGGUGGUGUACGAGUGCGGCGCGUCGUGCGGGUGCCCGGCGAGCUGCCCCAACCGGGUGACUCAGCGGGGGACGAGGCACCGGCUGGAGGUGUUCCGGUCCACGGAGACGGAUUGGGGCGUGAGGACGCUCGACCUGAUCCAGCCGGGCGCAUUCCUCUGCGAGUUCGCCGGGGACGUGCUCCUCGCGGAUGACCCCCGCAUUGCCAACGCGAACGCCAAUGCCAAUACCGGCGCGUCAACGGAGGAGUGGGCCUGCUUCAUCGACCCGAGGAAGUUUCCGACGAGGUGGAUGGAGUGGGGGUACGCCCCCGCGGCCGUGCUUCCAGCCGACGGCGAGGAACCGCCCCGUUUCGUGCAGUGCCCGGCGCCGGGGUACGUGCUCGACAUAUCCAAGAGGAAAAACAUCGCGGCCUACAUCAGCCACAGCAGCUUCGUGCCAAACGCCUUCGUCCAGCUCGUGGUCCGUGGUGACGAGGACGAGUCGUGCCCCCACCUGAUGGUCUUCGCCAUGGAGAUCAUCCCGCCGAUGAGCGAGCUGAGCAUCGACUACGGCCUCGAUCAGUGA
rnacentral:rRNA from 1 species